GGCGUAGGCGGCUUUUCAAGUCGGAUGUGAAAUCUCCUGGCUUAACCGGGAGGGGUCAUCCGAUACUGUUGAGCUAGAGUGCAGCAGGGGAAGGUGGAAUUCCCGGUGUAGUGGUGAAAUGCGUAGAUAUCGGGAGGAACACCAGUGGCGAAGGCGGCCUUCCAGGCUGUUACUGACGCUGAGGCCCGAAAGUGUGGGGAGCGAACAGGAUUAGAUACCCUGGUAGUCCACACCGUAAACAAUGGACACUAGGUAUAGGGAGUUUCGACCCUCUCUGUGCCGAAGCCAACGCUUUAAGUGUCCCGCCUGGGGACUACGGCCGCAAGGUUAAA
rnacentral:rRNA from 1 species